GAAGUCGUAACAAGGUCUCCGUAGGUGAACCUGCGGAGGGAUCAUUACAGAGUUCAUGCCCUACCGGGUAGAUCUCCCACCCUAUGUUAUUAUUACUUUGUUGCUUUGGCGGGCCGUUAGGCUCCGGCCCGACUACCGGCCCCGGCUGGUAAGCGCCCGCCAGAGGACCCAAAACCCUGAAUAUUAGUGUCGUCUGAGUACUAUAUAAUAGUUAAAACUUUCAACAACGGAUCUCUUGGUUCUG
rnacentral:misc_RNA from 1 species